rnacentral:rRNA from 1 species
CCUACGGGAGGCAGCAGUGGGGAAUUUUCCGCAAUGGGCGAAAGCCUGACGGAGCAACGCCGCGUGAGGGAUGAAGGCCUCUGGGCUGUAAACCUCUUUUAUCAAGGAAGAAGAUCUGACGGUACUUGAUGAAUAAGCCACGGCUAAUUCCGUGCCAGCAGCCGCGGUAAUACGGGAGUGGCAAGCGUUAUCCGGAAUUAUUGGGCGUAAAGCGUCCGCAGGCGGUCUUGUAAGUCUGUCGUUAAAGCGUGGAGCUCAACUCCAUUUCGGCGGUGGAAACUACAAGACUAGAGUGUGGUAGGGGCAGAGGGAAUUCCCGGUGUAGCGGUGAAAUGCGUAGAUAUCGGGAAGAACACCAGUGGCGAAGGCGCUCUGCUGGGCCAUAACUGACGCUCAUGGACGAAAGCUAGGGGAGCGAAAGGGAUUAGAUACCCCUGUAGUCCUAGCCGUAAACGAUGAACACUAGGUGUCGGGGGAAUCGACCCCCUCGGUGUCGUAGCUAACGCGUUAAGUGUUCCGCCUGGGGAGUACGCACGCAAGUGUGGAACUCAAAGGAAUUGACGG